UUGACUCCACUGCCUCUCCGGUGUUACCGGAGCCCGAAUCCUCUGUGAGGGGCGAGCCUCGACGGAGAUUGAUGUUCGAGCCGCUCGAAUCCUCUGUGAUCCUUCUUUUUCGUGUGUCUGAUUUGUUUUUUUCGUGCUUACAGUGGGGAUUGAUUGAAUACAUUAUUGGUUGUUGGUGUGAAUGUUGCUGAAAUGAUGAAUGAUCUGUUGAUUUUGGUGCAUUUCUGAGAAUUUUGUCGUUGAUGUUGG
rnacentral:lncRNA from 1 species